rnacentral:misc_RNA from 1 species
AAAAUAGUGAAAUACAAGUAUAAUAGGAUGCCCCAACAUUUUUUGAUAAAUAAAAAGCACUAAUUCACUGCUGUACAGAGAAUAUAAAUACCAGGCAAUCAUCAAGUGGAUAAAUUAAAUGGCCAAAGAGAAAGAAUAGUUUAAUGCCUCCGAACAUGUCUCUUUCAUCCGAAAACAGGCUUUUCAUUGAGCCGAAGUUCAGUUCGGAGCCCUAGUACUAGCCCGAUGGCCCCAGCCAUAACUCAAGCUCCAAAUGAUAAAAAAUGUGCAACUUAUGUACGAAGUAUUUAGAAAUUAAUUCCAGAAGGCAUACAAUUGUCAUUGCAAGAGAACCAACAGCAGCCUAAGCUUGCUAGAAAUUAAAUCUAAUGCAAGAAUUACCGAAAUUCAGAAGACCCACAUUACCUUGCAUCUACAAAGUACAGAAUGGUUUGCAUCCCACAAAUAGACAUAUUAUCCAAAAUACAAGAGUUUAAACUAAAUGGAUCAGUACUACCACAUAAACAUAAUCACAUUGCUCUGUUUACAGGCUCUAGUGCUUCAACAGUGACAACACUAUUUCCUCUGAUUACCACCAUGCCUAUGUCAGUUCUCUCAUCACCAUUCACCUCCACAGUGUUGUCAACCACCAAAUUCAUGAAUUGAUCAAAUCCACGAAGUGUUCCAACUACCAUCCUAUUUGCAUUCAGCUUGAUUUGAAGUUUCUUGUCCAUGUACUUCUUGAGAUCUGGUGGCUGGCCUGAUCUGCUCAUGUUGAGCGGCUUCGAUCGAGUGUGCUUUGCGACUUGCGAAGAAGCCGAGAGAGGGAGAGGGAGAGGGAAAGCGAGAAUGACAGGGAGAUGCAC